rnacentral:rRNA from 1 species
UGAUGAGAGCUUGCUCUCUGAUUUUAGCGGCGGACGGGUGAGUAACACGUGGGCAACCUGCCCUACAGGUGGGGAUAACUCCGGGAAACCGGGGCUAAUACCGAAUAAUCAGUUUGUCCGCAUGGACAAACUCUGAAAGACGGUUUCGGCUGUCACUGUAGGAUGGGCCCGCGGCGCAUUAGCUAGUUGGUGGGGUAAUGGCCUACCAAGGCAACGAUGCGUAGCCGACCUGAGAGGGUGAUCGGCCACACUGGGACUGAGACACGGCCCAGACUCCUACGGGAGGCAGCAGUAGGGAAUCUUCCACAAUGGACGAAAGUCUGAUGGAGCAAUGCCGCGUGAGCGAAGAAGGUUUUCGGA